GGGUCAUUGCCCUGUGAGUUUCCAAGGAAAUCUAUCCUCCUGGGGAGGUCCCAUGCUGAGUGACCUUGGGAACAUUGGAUUAACUGUGUGGUCCUGACUCCUGUAGUGUCCCCUUGAGGUGGACACUGUUGGUGCUGUCGAACACUACGCUUCGAGCUGCUGGGUAAGAGCAAGGUACCCUGGGUAAGAGUUGUCAGAGAUGGGUGUGUGGGCACGAGGUCACACUACUCUCACAACAUACUGACAGUGGAUCACGAUUUUGGGGCAUGUGCCAUGACGGUGUGAACAGUAUCAUCACCUGCAUACCCUCACAGGAGAUAUGUGCCCAAUCAUACACUCUUAAAUUGUUAAAGAUUUUAUUUGUGUAGCACUUGCUAAGAAAGGUCAUUUUAUUUUGUUUAGUAGGUUAGUUGGCUAAAGAAGCUGCAUAAUUCAAUGCAAUUGCGAAAUUCUUUCAUUGAACUUAAAAUACUGAUUCUCAGUGAAUCUAUAUAUUUCAUAACUUGAUAUACAAAAAAUAGGUUGGGACAAAUUCAACAAUUAUUACUGUAUAGACUUUAUCAAUCAAACUGUAGGUCUAGAUAUAUGAAAUAGAAUA